GACGAACGCUGGCGGCGUGCUUAACACAUGCAAGUCGAACGGAGAGGCGAACGGGUGAGUAACACGUGGGUGAAACUCCCCGCACGUCGGGAUAAGCUUGGGAAAAUGGGCAUAAUACCGGCAAGUGCACGAUGAGCGCGCGGCCUAUCAGCUUGGUGGUGGGGUAAUGGCCUACCAAGGCGUCGACGGGUAGCCGGCCUGAGAGGGGGUACGGCCACAUUGGGCCUGAGAUACGGCCCAGGCUCCUACGUGGGGCAGCAGUGGGGAGUAUUGCGCAAUGGGCGGAAGCCUGAUGCAGCGACGCCGGGGGUGUGAUGAAGGCCUUCGGGUUGUAAACUCCUUUCGACAGGGAAGCGGUACCUGCAUAAGAAGCACCGGCUAACUACGUGCCAGCAGCCGCGGUAAUAC
rnacentral:rRNA from 1 species